GAUGAACGCUGGCGGCGUGCUUAACACAUGCAAGUCGAACGAAGCGCCUUAUUUGGUUUCCUUCGGGAGUGAUUAUUUUGUGACUGAGUGGCGGAUGGGUUAGUAACGCGUGGGUAAUAUGCCUUGUACAGGGGGAUAACAGUUGGAAACGGCUGCUAAUACCGCAUAAGCGCACGGCGUCGCAUGAUGCAGUGUGAUAAGCUCCGGUGGUAUCCGCUGGACCCGCGUUGGAUUAGCUAGUUGGUGAGGUAACGGCGAACCGAGUCGACGAUCCAUAGCCGAGGUGAGAGGGUGAAGGGCGACAUGGGAACUGAGACAACGCCAAAAAUCCUACGGAAGGGGGCAGAGGGGAAAAUGGGACAAUGGGCGAAAGAGUGACGCAGCGACGGGGAGGAAGCGAAGCAGUAUGUCGGUAUGUAAAGCUCUAGAAGCAGGGAAGAUGAUGACGGUACCUGAAGAAGAAGCACCGGCUAAAUACGUG
rnacentral:rRNA from 1 species